GCGGGGGGGGGGAAUGGGGGACGUUUCGACGGAUCGCUAAUACCGCAUACGUCCUACGGGAGAAAGCAGGGGACCUUGGCCCUGCAUGGGCUAUCAGAUGAGCCUAGGUCGGAUUAGCUAGUAGGUGCAGUGAAAGGGCUCACCUAGGCGACGAUCCGUAACUGGUCUGAGAGGAUGAUCAGUCACACUGGAACUGAGACACGGUCCAGACUCCUACGGGAGGCAGCAGUGGGGAAUAUUGGACAAUGGGCGAAAGCCUGAUCCAGCCAUGCCGCGUGUGUGAAGAAGGUCUUCGGAUUGUAAAGCACUUUAAGUUGGGAGGAAGGGCAGUAAGUUAAUACCUUGCUGUUUUGACGUUACCAACAGAAUAAGCACCGGCUAACUCUGUGCCAGCAGCCGCGGUAAUACGAAGGGUGCAAGCGUUAAUCGGAAUUACUGGGCGUAAAGCGUGUGUAGGUGGUUCGUUAAGUUGGAUGUGAAAGCCCCGGGCUCAACCUGGGAACUGCAUCCAAAACUGGCGAGCUAGAGUAUGGUAGAGGGUGGUGGAAUUUCCUGUGUAGCGGUGAAAUGCGUAGAUAUAGGAAGGAACACCAGUGA
rnacentral:rRNA from 1 species